rnacentral:sRNA from 1 species
UACAUGCAUCAUAUGUUUAUCCAAAGCCACACCAGUAACUGCUUUUUUCUC